GUGUCAGCAGCCGCGGUAAUACGGAGGGUGCAAGCGUUAUUCGGAAUGACUGGGCGUAAAGCGCACGCAGGCGGAUAAGUAAGUCAGAUGUGAAAGCCCCGGGCUUAACCUGGGAAUUGCAUUUGAAACUGCUUGUCUAGAGUAUGUCAGAGGAAGGCGGAACUUCCAGUGUAGCAGUGAAAUGCGUAGAUAUUGGAAAGAACACCGAUGGCGAAGGCAGCCUUCUGGGGCAAUACUGACGCUCAUGUGCGAAAGCGUGGGUAGCAAACGGGAUUAGAAACCCCUGUAGUCC
rnacentral:rRNA from 1 species